rnacentral:rRNA from 1 species
UACGUAGGGGGCAAGCGUUGUCCGGAUUCAUUGGGCGUAAAGAGCUCGUAGGCGGUUCAGUAAGUCGGGUGUGAAAGCUCCGAGCUCAACUCGGAGAGGCCACCCGAUACUGCUGUGACUUGAGUCCAGUAGAGGAGCGUGGAAUUCCUGGUGUAGCGGUGAAAUGCGCAGAUAUCGGGAGGAACACCAGUGGCGAAGGCGACUACCUGGCCUGUUCUUGACGCUGAGGCGCGAAAGCUAGGGGAGCAAACGGG